rnacentral:rRNA from 1 species
UAUACAUGCAGUCGAGCGGACAGAAGGGAGCUUGCUCCCGGAUGUUAGCGGCGGACGGGUGAGUAACACGUGGGUAACCUGCCUGUAAGACUGGGAUAACUCCGGGAAACCGGAGCUAAUACCGGAUAGUUCCUUGAACCGCAUGGUUCAAGGAUGAAAGACGGUUUCGGCUGUCACUUACAGAUGGACCCGCGGCGCAUUAGCUAGUUGGUGAGGUAACGGCUCACCAAGGCGACGAUGCGUAGCCGACCUGAGAGGGUGAUCGGCCACACUGGGACUGAGACACGGCCCAGACUCCUACGGGAGGCAGCAGUAGGGAAUCUUCCGCAAUGGACGAAAGUCUGACGGAGCAACGCCGCGUGAGUGAUGAAGGUUUUCGGAUCGUAAAGCUCUGUUGUUAGGGAAGAACAAGUGCAAGAGUAACUGCUUGCACCUUGACGGUACCUAACCAGAAAGCCACGGCUAACUACGUGCCAGCAGCCGCGGUAAUACGUAGGUGGCAAGCGUUGUCCGGAAUUAUUGGGCGUAAAGGGCUCGCAGGCGGUUUCUUAAGUCUGAUGUGAAAGCCCCCGGCUCAACCGGGGAGGGUCAUUGGAAACUGGGAAACUUGAGUGCAGAAGAGGAGAGUGGAAUUCCACGUGUAGCGGUGAAAUGCGUAGAGAUGUGGAGGAACACCAGUGGCGAAGGCGACUCUCUGGUCUGUAACUGACGCUGAGGAGCGAAAGCGUGGGGAGCGAACAGGAUUAGA